UAACAAUUCCAAUGGGGCAAAAUAGCAAGCAAAGAGACACAGAAUGGCGCGUUUCAAUAUCAUUGUGCAAACCAUCAUGAUAUACCUGCCUGCUUGAAAGAAAAAAAACAGCAUUAAAAUAAUGGUCAGUCUGGAAGAGAGCAACUUCUACAGCAAAUUCAAACUAAGCUCAACGGCUUGGCUGGGGAAGGGAGAUUCAGGUGGUCUUUUUGAGGGCACGUUUAUCAUAUCUACAAAGCAUAUCAUCUUGCUCAAUUCAAGAAGAAAAUAAAAGAUGCAAUUUUUGCAGUUCUAUAUUGGAGUAUUUGGCCUAGGAAAAAGUGAUCAAUUUUUCAUAGGGGUAUUGAAUAGAGGGACCUGCUUCCUUUUCCACAUCCCAAAAGAGAGAAAGCAUACAACUAUUGCACAAACAUACGCAGCCGAGAGAGAGAGAGAGAGAGAGAGAGAGAGAGAGAGAGAGAGAGAGAGAGAGAGAGCUUGCAGCAAAAAGAUCUACAGCCAAUAGGUGAAUCCAUGCAGAUGCUAAUGUCAUCUCACUGGAAAACAUCUUUGCUAUACCAGGCAGCUGAACAGAAUGAAAUAUCAAAAAUCCGAACCACAACAUCAGCACAAGAUAACAAGUGGAGUAUCAUCUGUUGAGCACAAGAACAAACCUCUGGAAGCCAGUAUUUACUAGCAAACAUCAGCCGAAUUGUAUCUGGUGUCCAUGAGAGGUAUAAUAGAAACCCGUACAGAAGUCCAAGCACAACAUAUAGUAUGGUGCUUUUCAUCAAUUUUCUGGUCUGCAUUAAUUAUUUAAUCAAGCCUUAACGCAAUACAACAACAACCCAGUAUAAUCCCACUUAGUGGGGUCUGGGGAGGGUAGUGUGUACGCAGACCUUACCCCUACCCUUGGGUAGAGAGUAGGAAAUAAGUAAAUUUUCUAGGAAAUAAGUAAAUUUUCUCAACAUUCUUAAUUUAAAACUUGCAUGCUCUUAUUAACCCAAUUUCAGUAUCUUGCAAUUAGAUGACAGAUCAAUGCAACUGCAACCAUGCUCCAGCAGUUCUACUUCAAUGCAUGACAUAAUGAGAGAACUUGGACCAAGAGCUUUUUAAGCUGAUGAUAUAACCACAGAGUUUAAGAUGAAAAAACAAAAUUGCUU
rnacentral:lncRNA from 1 species